GAUUGUGUUGUGUGUUCUGAGAUGAGGAAUUAUGCGCGUCAAGAGGCAUUUUUCAAAAAGCUUAGACAAGCACGGUAGUAGGCUAAUUGGUCUGUACGAUGAUGGUAUUGUAUGGUCUUUUCCUGGUUUGGGAAUCAUUAUAAUGACCGAUUUCUUCCAUUUUUUUGGGAAGUAGCCGAUGGUUGUAAUCGCGUUGAAAAGUUUACAGAUGAGGGAAAUAGCACAGUUUGGAAGUUCAAUGAUCAUUUUUUGAGUUAUUAGAUCGCAGCCUGGAGCUUUCUUUGGUUUCAUCUGUUCUUUUAUGACUUUUACAAUUUCAUUUGGACGAAAUUCAGGUGGUUCAGGUUCGCCAGGACUAUCAGAUACACAGGAUGAUAGUAAAAACGAAUUUGUUGCGGGAUUUGGUUGGAAUACAUGACGUAGGUGAGCAGCAAAUGUGUUAGCUCUGUCUUUGUCGCUACGGGCCCAGCAGCCUGAGGAGUUUCUUAUAGGCGUUACUGUUUCGAUCGGCGCACUUAGCGUAGGGUGAGCCCUCCACAAAGGAUGCUUGGUACUGGUUGGUGAUAAUUGCUCUAUGUAGCGGCGUUGGGCAUCUGCUUCUUCAUGCUUAAGAGCUUUGCUGAGUCUGCAUGGCGACCGGUGAGACUGCCACUCACGUCGCAAUCGUCGCUUUUCCAGAACAAGUUGUUCUAUUUGAAGAUUAGUUUUACGUUUAUUCGUCUGCACAUGCGCGCGUUGUGGAGUAGAGAUCUUAGCUGCUGCAACAAGUACUGAUUCUAAUAAGUCCGCAGAGCAGUCGAUGUCCGCUUCGAUGUUGAACUGCGGAGCAAGAUCGAGGUGAGAGCUAACGUAUUUCUUGUACUUGAGCCAGUUGGUUCUGUGUGUUGUGAGUCUAUUAGAAUAUUCCACAUAUUCCGGGGAUUGGAGUAGAUUUAAUAACACGGGGGAGUGGUCGGAUGAAAGAUCCGAAAGUGCUACGGCGCUUAUCAGAUUGCGUGGGAUGUUUUUUGUCACAG